rnacentral:rRNA from 1 species
CUAGUACGAGAGGACCGGAGUGGACGCAUCACUGGUGUUCGGGUUGUCAUGCCAAUGGCACUGCCCGGUAGCUAAAUGCGGAAGAGAUAAGUGCUGAAAGCAUCUAAGCACGAAACUUGCCCCGAGAUGAGUUCUCCCUGAGACCUUGAGUCUCCUGAAGGAACGUUGAAGACGACGACGUUGAUAGGUCGGGUGUGUAAGCGCAGCGAUGCGUUGAGCUAACCGAUACUAAUGAACCGUGAGGCUUAACCUUACAACGCCGAAGGUGUUU